UACGAAGGGGGCUAGCGUUGCUCGGAAUCACUGGGCGUAAAGCGCACGUAGGCGGCUUUUUAAGUCAGGGGUGAAAUCCUGGAGCUCAACUCCAGAACUGCCUUUGAUACUGAGAAGCUUGAGUCCGGGAGAGGUGAGUGGAACUGCGAGUGUAGAGGUGAAAUUCGUAGAUAUUCGCAAGAACACCAGUGGCGAAGGCGGCUCACUGGCCCGGUACUAACGCUGAGGUGCGAAAGCGUGGGGAGCAAACAGG
rnacentral:rRNA from 1 species